rnacentral:rRNA from 1 species
GACGAACGCUGGCGGCGUGCUUAACACAUGCAAGUCGAGCGGUAAGGCUCCAGCUUGCUGGGGUACACGAGUGGCGAACGGGUGAGUAACACGUGGGUGACCUGCCCUGCACUUCGGGAUAAGCCUGGGAAACUGGGUCUAAUACCGGAUAGGACCGCACCGUGAGGGUGUGGUGGAACGUUUUUUCGGUGUGGGAUGGGCCCGCGGCCUAUCAGCUUGUUGGUGGGGUAAUGGCCUACCAAGGCGGCGACGGGUAGCCGGCCUGAGAGGGUGGACGGCCACAUUGGGACUGAGACACGGCCCAGACUCCUACGGGAGGCAGCAGUGGGGAAUAUUGCACAAUGGGCGGAAGCCUGAUGCAGCGACGCCGCGUGGGGGAUGACGGCCUUCGGGUUGUAAACUCCUUUCACCAUCGACGAAGGGUUUCUGACGGUAGAUGGAGAAGAAGCACCGGCUAACUACGUG